GGUAUUUGAAGAGAGGUCUCCCAUGAUGCGUUCACUUUGUUUUUUGAUGAAUCAUACAUGGUUGACCUUUUUUUAAGUAUC
rnacentral:pre_miRNA from 1 species